GUGCCAGCAGCCGCGGUAAUACGAAGGGGGCUAGCGUUGUUCGGAAUUACUGGGCGUAAAGCGCACGUAGGCGGGUCGUUAAGUCAGGGGUGAAAUCCCGGAGCUCAACUCCGGAACUGCCUUUGAUACUGGCGAUCUAGAGAUCGGAAGAGGUGAGUGGAAUUCCCAGUGUAGAGGUGAAAUUCGUAGAUAUUGGGAAGAACACCAGUGGCGAAGGCGGCUCACUGGUCCGAUACUGACGCUGAGGUGCGAAAGCGUGGGGAGCAAACAGGAUUAGAAACCCGAGUAGUCC
rnacentral:rRNA from 1 species